rnacentral:tRNA from 1 species
GCGCCCGUGGCUCAGCUGGAUAGAGCACGAGGCUUCGAACCUCGGUGUCGCAGGUUCGAGUCCUGCCGGGCGCA